rnacentral:misc_RNA from 1 species
AUUUUAUGUUACUUAAAUUAAAGAACAGAAAGUUUUGUUAUACAAAUUAAAGUUUAGGUGCUGUACUGUUAUAUACCUCUAAGUUAAGGUACUGUCAAUGUAAUUUAUCCUAUUUCUAAAAUUUUUAAGGUAUUACAUGAUGUUGUUAUUGUGAUUAGAAAAUGUGAAAUUAGGAGAGAUGUGAGGAGAGAGAAAUAUUUUAUUUGUGGUAACUUGUAAACCUCCAAUUAUAGCUAACGGAGACUUACUCAAAUUGAAAUUGAUGGAG